rnacentral:miRNA from 1 species
UGGACGGAGGAAGCGCGGGCAG